GGUCCUGGUAUGCCUCCACCUCCACCGCCUGGCAUGGGAGGCUGGGGACACCCUGCAGUAAUUCAAUUGCCGCAUGGCCUCCAGCCUAAGAAAGAGUACAAGCCUGAAGUGCAACUGAAGAGAGCCAACUGGAGCAAGAUUGGACCCGAAGACCUUUCGGAGAACAGCUUUUGGAUAUCUGCCAAAGAGGAGAAAUAUGAAAACAAUGAGCUCUUUGCCAAACUCACCUUGGCCUUUUCCUCGCAGACGAAGACUACAAAAGGUAAGAAUAGUCUGAACCAGCCGCUCUUUUCAUUUCCCAUCUCAUCUCACGAUUCUUCUCUGCCUAGAGGACGCAACACACAUUUGUCCUGAACACCCUGUCAAAACAAUAUCCCGCAUUAGUUUGUGUAAAAGUCACCUACACGUGCAUGCGAAUGGGAUCCUCCUCUCAAUGACUUGUGCUAGAUCAGAUAAAUUUGCACUUCAGGGAUUUAGAGGAAAGAUGGACUCUGGGCUGAAGGUGAAAUUCAAGAUAAGUAGAAGGUCGCUUCGACGUGCCACCUGCUGUCCUGCACAAAAAGCUGACACUCACACAAGCACACCUGCUCAAUCGGAUCACCUUGUCCCAGUGUCACCUAGCCUUCUGCUCGAGCUCCUCCAUAUUCAUAUCAUAAUGAGGACACUAUCAGCUCAUAAGCAGUGUGUAUACAUGAGGGUGUUUUUGUGUGAAUUAAUCUGACCUUCGUAUAUAGUCUCUCUCUCUUACACACACACACACACACACACACACUUACACAAUGACACGGACGUGUCAUGAAUAACAAAAUGGACACCUGCACACGUGACUGAUUCUGGCACUUGAUGUCAGUUAAAAUGUCACCAUUGGCAGCUGUCAGAACUUCAUUCACCUCUCUGGCAAAUCGUAACAUCCCACUGUCACUCCUUAAUUUCACCCCCUCCCGACUCCCCAUUUCUAUGACACAUAUACCGCCACUACCAUUUUGUAUAGGCCAAGACAGCCGCCUAUUCCAUAUGUCUAAUCACCUUUUCUCUGGAAGCUGACUGUAAAGACACCGCACCCUUUUCAUAAGCUCCCACAUGUCUGUUUGUGUGCGUGUGUGCACGGCAUUGGCAUUCUACGAAGUAAGAGGUCAGAAAAUUGGAACUUUUGUUGAACCCAAGAAUUAUAUAAAAUAUGUCUGGGGUUCAGGCGGCAUUCAAUUAGUAUGUUUUUUUCUUGGAGAAUAUCGAUGUCAGUAGUGCCACAUUUGAAUACUAGUGAGAUAGAAAAGGGCAUAAAAAAGUCUAGUGGGAACAGGCAAGAUGUGAACAAGGUCUGUAUGCCUUUGAAAACGACUGAGUCUUUUAUUGAAGCUAUUGUGUAAACAUCUUUAUGCAUUAUGUGCUUUGAGUGCAAAUGUAAUUCUACCCACACACUCCAUUUGUGUACAUGUUUGUGUGGCCCUAUAAGCAAAGAACUCCAGUUAUGCAGAGUGAACCUUCACCCCACCUCGAUCCUCGUCUUACUUAAAUGGCCUGCUGCAUUCUUCCCGACCUCCUUAUCCCUCACCUUUGGGAACCCAGUUUCAUUCCUCUUGAUUCCUUCUUCGGUGCCCUUUCUCCCGCUCUUGCGCCUCCCUUUCCUCAUUAUGCCGCCAAGGCAGAGAGACACUACACCAAGCCAUCACUCACCUUUACUGACCCUUCGUUCUUUCCAUCAACGGCCAACCAGCACACGCACCCACGCCGACAACAUGCAUGCUGGGGAAUACUGUGCUCAGUGCGGGGUUAUGGCUUAUGGACUCUGAACCUUUUGGCAGGGCAGUGAUGGGAUGGUGGCAGUCACGUCCACUGCCUGCACAGAAUCCUUGACUUGCAUACCACAUACGAUGUGGCCAUUUGCUCAACAUUUUGCAAUAACAAAAUGUUGGAAAAGGGCCAAGGAUAUAUAGAUUUCUGCUCGAAUCUAACUCCCCCCCCCCCCCCCCCCCCACCGACAAGAGCAAAAUAUUGACAAGCACCACUUAAACUGCCCAGGGACACAGAGCAUUCAUUAUCUAGUGUUUGUGUGUAAUUAUUCUCUUCGCAUCGAGAGAGAAUCCGUCAUCAAGCACUUUCUAAACGUGCAAGUUAUGUGUGGUAUUAUGUUGGUUUAAUUCUUCAUUUAAAUUAGAUUAAUAUGCCUGAUCUCAUUAAGCUGCUGCUGUUGACUUUAUACACGCACACUCACUCACAGAUCGUCUCCCGGUGUUUUCCACUCAUUCAAGGAUGGAGCGAGCGCAUUAUUAGCAAUAUGUGUUUUGUUCUUUCUCAUUAAACUGAGUGAGAAUUGGGAAAUAAAAAACGCAAACGGCUCUGCUUUUCAUCGGGUGGUCGACAACAUUCUUUGAUAUAAUUGUCGACUUCAUGCAGGUUGCUUCUAUGUGGAGCAUUGUACUGCUUUGUGUGACUUUGGUAGACAAUAUUUUCCUGUGCGCUUUGUGGGUGGUUUGCUCUCUCUCUUGCUCUGUAAUCAGACGCCUGGUGUGAUCGUAUGUAAUAAUAAACAGCUCAGUUCACAUAGCUACAUGCGGGUGCAAGGCUUAUACUACUGCGAAUAAGCAAUGAAUGAAUUUAAAUCCCCAUUUAGGGGGUUUUGAUUGUUCUCUACACCAGUGUUUUCUUUUUCGAGCCAAGGCACGUUUUUUUUUUUUUCAUUGAAAAAAUCCCGCGGCACAAUACUACCUGAAAAUGUGAAUUUUAACAAUUAAGUGUUAUAUUGUUACUUUCAGAAUUUUUUAAUGAAUAAAUUAACGGAAUAUUAUAACACAUUUAACAGGAAUCAAAUCAAACAAAAUUGCAAUAAUUGGUGCAUUUGUUUAAAUAGCAAGUAAAAUUGAAUCAAUUAGAACGUUAACAGAAUCCGAUUUUAUUUCUGUGUGACAGCCGGUUCUUUUUCUCCGGGUCGUUAGCGCUCUCCCCCAAUAUUGUACCAAUCCAUGAUCCCAUCUUGAGUCUUUGUAUAAAUCCAACAUCAUUAUAAUGACUUUUCUGCUGAAUGUGUCACUUGAGGUAGUCCAGCUUGCAUUUAGUCCGUAUUUUUCCAUCUGAAAAUUUGCUUACAACUUUUGUGUGUUUUGCAGAGCAGACGUUUUUCACUUGAAAAAGAAAAUAUCUCACCCAGUUUCACUGCUUGUUCUUCUAUUUGCACAUACGCCGACAGCCAUUCCAACUUAAAAGAACCGCAGUUCAUUCUUAUUUUGGUUUGGGGAGUCGACGUAUCACAUUCACUGCCUGAUCGUUUCGCCAUGACAAAGGAUUAGCAUCAGCGUCACUUAUCGCCGCCGCACUUUUAUUGUUAUGGAGCAGAGAACAAGCGCAAGUACUGUCAAUGCCAUGAUUGGCUGUAUAGCAUCAUUGCAUCAUAUCGGAUGAUUGGCUGGACACCUGUCACUCACUGAAUUACACAGCAAAUUGAUACAGAAAAAAAGUUACAUAUCUCAUUCAUUUGCAGUGUGUUCACUGCGCUGGAUAGAUUUUCUUGUGCGCUGAGAGUAUGCGACCAGUGUGCAGUUGCGCAGCUUAGAGAGGGAACAUUGGUGACGUUGCAUCACCAGUAAACGUAAACCUAAAUUAAAGAUACCUUUCAUUGUAUUGCCUCGUGUUGGAAACUGCACUUGUCUCGAAGCACAAGGCAAUUUCCUAGCUGCUGCUGCUGCUCCCUACCGGUAUGGAAGAGUUCUACAUGAUUACUUUUCCAGGCGAUUGACUGCACAGGCAUACAUAAUGUAUAAUUUCCCACGGCACACCUGUGUGCCACAUCACAGGAUUUGAAAAACACUGCUCUACACAGUCCUUUCUUCUCUGUGUCUUCUACAGUGGCUGUUUUAUUGUUGUUGGAGAAAAAUAAUAUGCCAUUUGAUUCCAGUCUGUACCUUUUGACGCCUGGAUCUCAUCUGUAGUUAGCAACUAAACAUAAAGGAAAUUUGGGAACUACUGAACAAGAAGAUGGCUGGACUGCAGGAACGUUGCUGAUUAAUUUGAGUCAGGAGAGAAAAGGAAAAAAAAGGGCCAGGAGCAUGUAACGAUUAUUAAUCCUCAUAAUGGGAGGAUCAUUUUCAUUUCCCAAUUCUCUGGACUGUACGCUCUUUUCUUCCUCUUUGUCUCUGUCUUAAUUACUACAUUUCUGUGGUCUGUUGCAGUAAGGUGACCUCAUUUUUCUUCACUGGCAGAAUAUCUCCAACUCAAGUGAGGUUUUAUACGGUCUCGUUUCACAUGCAAUGACAGCGUCCCACAGUGUAAUAUAUAAUCGUGUCAUAUAUUCUGUCCCUUUGCAACACAAAUGGGUUUAUUACAGACAGAUGCAAUGGUUUUCGUUGGAGGAGGUCCACAUGUUUGUGUGCUUUGUUCAACAGAGUAGGCGGCUCAGCGAAGCCACAUUUGCAAAACAAUUAUAAGCCUUUUGAUCUUUCUGUGUUAUACACACAUACAUACACACACACACACAUUUUGUUCCUUUUAGAUGUCUAUGUGUACUUGGUUUUCCUUUCAAGUGUGUCCAAUUCAUUUUUCACCUUAAUGAGGCAGUAAUUGAUAAAUAAGGGCCCUUGUGUGAUUGCAGGUGCACAUGCUUGCCUUUGGCUUCUUGGGGGGCUUCAGCCAAUCGGUUAAGGGGAUGAGAGAUGGAGCUCAUUAAAGGCCCAGGCGCUAUGAACAAUUAUAGCCCAGUGUUGUUGAUUAGAUCAUUACAGCGUCUACUUAAAAUAAUUAACAUUGGGCUGAAGGUUAUUCUCGGUGAAAAGAAAAUAACUGUUAAUAAAAGAUGGUGAGCAAACUCCAAUUCAUCUUGAUGUUCUUUUGAAGUGCAACAAAUGCAAUGUGGGAUUUGUACUGAAUCAUCACUUCAUUGGUUAUGGAAAAUAAUGUCACAGAGCACGUCUGCUUUGGUCAGCUUGAAUCCUAAAUGUUUUCCAUUUGCUCUUCUUCAUGACUUUAGCUGCAUAUUUUAAAUGAUGAUCUUAUAUUGUUGUUUGGUGGUUUUCUUAACACAAAAAGUACCAAUAAGCAUACCAUAAAGGCACCCGAUGGAUAAGCAAUAUCAUUAAAAGUAGUACAGUAGUAUUGUUAAGCUUACCACUACCCCCAUCUCUAUGUUUAUGAUGGAGAGUUUCAGUUUACGGACCAUGUGGAAGCCUUCCUAGAAAGAUUUAAACACAUGAAAUUGCUCUUGUGUAAAUUACCACUUCUGUACUGGCUGCUCAGUACAGGAUGCCGAGCUCAGAAAUUAUUUUUGUCGUGCGUGCACAAUGGUCGCAAUGUCAAGUUAUCAGACAUGUAGUUAGAAAUUAAUUCUGUAUCUUGGACCGUGUGAGUGGACGCACAAGGAGUCACACUAAGAUCGAUCAUCUCGUACUGCUAUGAAGAGCACAGUCUGACAAAGGGAGCCGGGAGCAAAAAAUGAGUCCAGUCUGCAGGGAAACGGUUUGCGGACAUGCAGGACGACAGCACCCAUGUGGGGGCUCGUCUCGGAGCAUGUCUCCAUAGGUACAGCAAACAGCUCCCACAGCGAGUGCUCUUUCUGGGAGCUUCUUCUUUGGUUUAUUGGCUUUUGCUGUUUGGAGGCAGCUGUGCGCUGCCUACAACAAGUACAUUGUUGCAGUCGGUGUUUGCAUUCUGAUUUUUGUUUCCAUUGAAUAUUUUUUCAAAGGCAUUUUGCAGUAUAUUAAUAUUGACCAUGUGUCGAUUGCAAUAAUAUUGAUCGUGAAUCACCGCCCAGUCUUGGUCACACUAUUUGGUCAAUGUCUAGCAACAAAUGGUGGGGCCACGAACGCCAUUUCACACGAUGCGAAAAACAAAAAAGACCACAUCAAACUUUUCUUGUUGUGGUUGUGAGGCCAGAUUAGCAGUCUUUGAUUAUGUCUCACGACACCAGCUGAUGA